rnacentral:rRNA from 1 species
UCCAGCAGCCGCGGUAAUACGUAGGGCGCAAGCGUUGUCCGGAAUUAUUGGGCGUAAAGAGCUCGUAGGCGGCUUGUCACGUCGGAUGUGAAAGCCCGGGGCUUAACCCCGGGUCUGCAUUCGAUACGGGCAGGCUAGAGUGUGGUAGGGGAGAUCGGAAUUCCUGGUGUAGCGGUGAAAUGCGCAGAUAUCAGGAGGAACACCGGUGGCGAAGGCGGAUCUCUGGGCCAUUACUGACGCUGAGGAGCGAAAGCGUGGGGAGCGAACAGGAUUAGAUACCCUGGUAA